GCCACAUCCACAGGGCUGGAGCUUUGGGCCUGAGACUCAGGACCUAAAGUUUCCUUUUAGAGUCGGUCCUGGGGAUGCACAUGUGGAUUAAAUUAGAGCAAUAUGUUUUUCUAACAGCAUCUUGGCUGAAAAGCCAAGCAGAUAAAUGGAAACAAACACAGCUUUAUGUGAAUGAAAAGGGGCUGACGAGGCAGCCACUUCUGCCUGAAGCGCCACAGCCAGCAGGGUUGCCCUCCUGGGGUCUCCCCCUCCUCCCGCUUCCCCCUCCAGCCCUGACCCUGGAAGCAUUCACCAGAGGGCUCCUCAAGGCCCCUCACCCAGCCUCUGCCCUGGCUGAACUGGCUUCCUGCCCAUCUCCAAACCCGAUUUGUGCUGCCCACUCUUGACCACAGUCAUCACCUAUGCUGUGCUCUCUGUGCAGCCACCACAAAAAUCCCAGAAGUACAGGGUUCAGAGAACUUCCAGGUUGGUGAACACAGCCACAUACCAGGAGGGUGAAGCACCCUAACUCUAUGGACACAGAAGCUCCUGGACUUGGGACUCUCCUGGAUCUUGCCCUGUGUGUCUCUAUAUCUGGCUGCUCAUCAUAUUUAUCAUAUCCUUUUAUAACCUGGUAAAUUGUCUUAAGAAUCUGAAUUUAUAUUAAAAAUGUGAAAGUGCCAAACCUCAAAGCAAGUCCGUGGAGCCUAAAUAAGUGGAAUGGGAGUGGAGAAGAAACACGGAGGCGAGGUUGUGAUGUGGCGUGGCGCAGGAGGCCCUGUGGGCCUGCUCAUCUGGAAUUCUGCAGCGCGGUUGUGUGGGAUCACAACGCUUUCCGGCACUUGUUCAUAUCUUAUUGCCACGGGUGAGACGGGAAGCCAGCAGCAGCAUCCCACACAUUCAAAAGACCUGCAUUGCUGGUGGACGGCUUGGACCGGGUCUCUGUUGAGAAGUCCCAGUCAGGGGGAAGGGCUUAUCGCCCAGCAGGUCCCCCUUUUAUCUCCAUAAAGUGGGGACCCCCUGUCUCAGGGUCCUGCUAAGCACCUCCCUUUCUGGGGCAGUUUUUGUAGCUUGCUUUUCCACCAUCUCUCUCUCUAUAUAUAUAUAUAAAUGUAUAUCGUGGUGAUGCGUCCAGAUCUAGGUUAUUCAUUUUAAUUCCUGAAUAUAUUUCAUCAUAUGACUGUACUACAUUUUUUCAUUGGAAUAUAAUUGCUUUAUAAAGUGUUAGUUUCUGCUGUACAAUAACGUGAAUCAGCUGUGUGUAUACAUGUACUACAUUUUAUUUGUCCAUUGCUAAAUUAAUGAAAGUUUAGGAUAGUCCCGGUUUGGUGCUAAUAGACAAUGCUGCAGGUAACACAUUUUAGAUUUCCAUGUGCACCCAGCCUUGGGCACUCUGGGGAAUGUAGCUAAAAGCAGAACUUGCAGGUGAUGGGUUAGUGCAUCUUCGACUUGCUGAGUUCUUGCCCAAUUCACCUCCAAAUUCUGCCGUGAAGGUACAGUCCCACAGGGAACACAAAACCGGUCCCAUUUCCAACAUCCUUGCCAACAGCUGAUGUCAUCAGAAGAUUGUUACAUUUUGCCAUUCUUAUUUAUGUUGACCUAUUUAAUAGUAAGCUUGAAUAUCUUGUCACAUAUUUAUGGACUUCUUUUUUUCUCACCUAUGAUUUGCCUGAUGAUAUCCUGACGUUUCUAUUAGAUUAUUCAUAUUUUUCUUAUUUAUAACAGUUUGCUAAAUACUCUGGAUAUGAUUUUUGUUGUUGUUGUUAUAGGGGUUGUAAAUAUUUCCUCCAAGCUUGUGGACUGUGGGUUUUCUUUUGACUGGACUGUGGCUUUUUUUGUUUAUUUUGGUUUGGUUUUUAACAUUGCUAGUGGUGUCUUUUUGAUGUGCAGAACUUUAAAAUUUUAAUGUGGUAAAAGUCUCUCUUUCUUUUGUGGUUGGUAAUUUUUCUAUUUUAUUCAAAAAAUCCUUCUGUAACCUCAGUGACAUAAAAAUAUUUUCCUAUAUUUUUCUUAAUUCAAAUGGAUUGAGGCAUAAUUUACACACAAUAAAACGCACCCAUUUGAAGUAUAGUGCCUGCCGCAUUUUGACAAAUGUAUACGACCAUGUUGGAGAAGGCAAUGGCACCCCACUCCAGUACUCUUGCCUGGAAAAUCCCAUGGACAGAGGAGCCUGGAAGGCUGCAGUCCAUGGGGUCACUAAGAGUCGGACACGACUGAGUGACUUCAUUUUCACUUUUCACUUUCAUGCAUUGGAGAAGGAAAUGGCAACCCACUCCAGUGUUCUUGCC
ensembl:lncRNA